AGAGUUUGAUCCUGGCUCAGGAUGAACGCUAGCGGUAGGCAUAACACAUGCAAGUCGAGGGGCAGCUGGUUUGGUAGCAAUACUGAAUGUCAGGCGACCGGCGGAUGGGUGAGUAACGCGUACGCAACCUACCUUGUACAGUGGGAUAGACACUGGAAACGGUGCGUAAUACCACGUAAUAAUAUAGAUAGGCAUCUGUUUAUAUGGGAAGGGUACGUAAGUAUUGGUAUAAGAUGGGCGUGCGUAGGAUUAGAUAGAUGGUGGGGUAACGGCUUACCAUGUCGACGAUCUUUAGGGGUUCUGAGAGGAAGGUCCCCCACAUUGCAACUGAGAACGGUGCAAACUCCUACGGGAGGCAGCAGUGAGGAAUAUUGGUCAAUGGGCGGAAGCUUGAACCAGCCAUACCGCGUGCAGGAAGGCGGCCUUAUGGGUUGUAAACUGCUUUUAUAAUGGGAUAGUGAUUAUAUCGUGCAUAUGAUAGGGAAGGUACAUUAUGAAUAAGUAUCGGCUAACUCCGUGCCAGCAGCCGCGGUAAUACGGAGGAUACGAGCGUUGUCCGGAUUUAUUGGGUUUAAAGGGUGCGUAGGCGGUUGAUUAGGUCUAUGGUGAAAUGGUUGUGCUCAACACAAUUUAGCUGUAGAAACCGGUCGGCUAGAAUAUAAGUGGCGUAGGCGGAAUAAAGCGUGUAGAGGUGACAUUCAUAGAUAUGCUUUAGAACACCGUUCGCGAAGGCGGCUUACGAAGGUAAAAUUGACGCUAAUGCACGAGAGCGUGGGUAUCGAACAGAAUUAGAUACUCUGGUAGUCCACGCUGUAAACU
rnacentral:rRNA from 1 species